CAAUAAAAUUGGAAGUGUGCGAAGUAGAAUGUGAGUUGCACACAGUAACAGCGAACAAACGAGUCCAAAACAAAAUAGGGGUGUGGUGUUGGUAAAUAUAGGGGUGCGCAGAAAAAAUAGUCAAACAGUCUAGCUCAAAUAAAAGGAGGUGCAGGCAUAAGAAGAAGGGGGUGUACGAAGUAAAGGGGAUGUGGCAUAUGAGACACCUAAACCCUAAUUGCUCAAAAGAAAGCCUCCUCUCCAUCUCUCUCGACACCAACACGCUGCCACUGGCCACGCCAGCGAGUGCCGCUGCCUACUUCACCGCGCUGCCCUCACCUCUGCUCCGCCACGCCGCCCCGCGACUGGUUGCCGGCGACGCUAAUCGACGCCGGAGGGUCGUCCUCCCUCUCGGCGGCUCAACCACCUUGCUUUCACUCAUGCACCGGAACGCAACUCCAAGAGAUCAACGCCGACGCAGCGCCUGCAACCCACCGUGAACGCCGCCACCGCCGCGACCGACGCGCGUCGCCUACGGCGCCCAUUUCCCCUUCUGCGCGAGGAUUUCUUCCCGGUCGAAGCUCCGCGCGUUCAUCCGCUGCCAGCCCGUCGCGAUCGCUUCGCGUCGCACCGCCUCGCCGCCACCGUCGAGGGAAACGUCGGCGCCGCUGAUGCGAACAGGGGGUGCGUCCUCUCCUCUAAUCUGCGAGGUCGAACAGAGGCCCACGGCGAUAAUGUUGGUGAGCGAAACUAGAGCCGCUGUCGUUAAAGCCCCGACUCGCCGGCGGCAGCGCCGCCGGCGAUCUUCUCUCUUCUCUGUUUCGAUUGGAAGUCUGUGAUCGGGGAAGAUUAAGACGGGGGUCUUUGGUGCUAUUACGGAUUUCGGUCUGGUGUGAUGUUGAGUCGCAGAGAUGGGGUUGUAACAAAGGUGGGAGACAAAGAUGAUGGCAAGUGAGUAAGCGGGUGAAGACGCGCUCUACAAAACCGUUUGUGAAGUAUGUUUGGGGUUCUGGUUUGGACCUCCUGCAGGUGGAUGAAUGAAGCACGAGCUUUUUGGUGUGUUGAUGAUGGGUGAGGGGGAUAGAGUUUGGGUUGCCGUUUUGGUUUGAUUGGUUGCGAGAAGAGAAGGAUGAAUUGGGGGUUAGAUGAUGGGUUGAGGAGCUUGUUCUGACUGGCUAUGUGCUGAUGAGUGGUGAGAUAGAUCUAUCUUUUCAGUUAUUUCGUGCAGGUCGGAUGAAUAGCGAUGAGCAAAUAGUAACGAAACGAGGACGACAACAUCUCAAACCAAUAAAACAUAACAAAUCCAGCAGAAUACAAGAUCAUAUUCAUUCAAGCAACCAACAUAACACAAGAUCAUAUUCAUUCCAAGGUUCACGUUCAAUUGGUGCUUACCUCUUGUAGUCUCCCUGUGUUUGUAGGGUGUGAUCAAUGGAGGCUCCCCUGUUCUCGUUCUUCAUUUCAGAUGAUUCCUUUCAGAUGCUCUCGUUCUUCCUUUCAGAUGAUUCCUUUCAGAUGCAAGGGUGCUCUCUUCUUUUUUGUUAUCUGUUAUGAAAUGCGAAACUGUGUAUCCUCUUCCCCGUUGCUCUCUUGCUCUUUGUGAUAUUGUAUCCUCUCUUCUUUUCAGAAUGGUUUGACCGUUCUUCUUCCCAUGCCAGUUUCCUCUUUCGCUCA